rnacentral:tRNA from 2 species
GCCUGUAGCUCAGUCGGUUAGAGCACUUGCUUGAUAAGCAAGGGGUCACAGGUUCAAGUCCUGUCAGGCCC